UCUACUUCUUCCUCUUGAUCAGGAAACUGGAGCAGUUCCUCACGACCAUCCAUUGCAGAUGCGCAGACAUGGCGGCGGCUUCUCUCGCAGCGGCCUCAGGGGCAAUUUAAAAGGUCCGCGCUGCGUUUAUGAGCUGUAACACGCACCACCGAGAAGGUCUGCAGCUUCACUGCAGAAGCCAGUGAGACCACAAACCUACCGAAAGUAAGAAACUCUGGACACAUGUGAACAUCUGAGGGAACAAACUCCGGACACACCAUCUUUCAGAACUGUAACACUCACCGCGAGCGUCGGCGGCUUGGUUCUUGAAGUCAGCGAGACCAAGAACCCACCAAUUCCGAACACUCUCCCUCUGAUGAAGUACCUCAAAAGCUAAGCUCCCAUCAAUCCUGGAGAGAUAGAAUCAGCAGAGCAUAGUGGCAGAAUGAAUGGUUUAAAAGGAACAGCAGCGACCAAAGAACUUUUUAUGCAGAGAAACCCCAAAUCUGGGGCAAAGCCCUCCUGUUCAUUUUAUCUCACACAAGGGCAUUGUUGAUCCAGAUGAAUGUAUUCACUUUGAAACGAGACCAUAGUCGCCGCUAGAGACAAAACUACAUACACUGACCCAGAUACGGUUCUUCCCCAGACCAAGUGACCCCAGCUGCAGCCGGAGUGCUCACAGUAAACUGAAAUUACAUGAAUGACACCCAGGGAAAGACGCUUGUAUUAUAAAGAGGCUACAUUUCUAUUUGGUUUACUGAUGUAUUAAUUUUUCAAAGUUUGGAAUCUCUUCAAAUACAAGUGUAUUCACCUCUUUUUGGACUAUGGUUGACUGGAUAAAUGAGACCACAGGAAACAAAACUGCGGAGAAAGGGGACUUCUUUCUGUCUAGACAGAAGCUGAAGGAUUGCCGAAGUUUUGAAGCUAUCACAGCCAAGCCUCAUCUCCAGCCAAGUGGUUAGCAGACUCCCUUGUGGCAGUUUUACCAAUUGGAUUUUUAAUGUUUCAUUCCAUUUUAGCUCAGCUUCUAGGACAGAAUCUGUGAUAUAGAGGUGAAUAAUAUAUUCAAAUGAAUGAGGACGACAGCUCUGUCAACAGUUCAGAGAGUCCCAGAAAGGGCCUACUGUCUUCUCAUGGUUUUACAUUUUCCUGCCUGCCACCCAUCCUGCAGCGUCUUCCCUGACACAGCCUGAGCUUCUUUAGCACUCCCACCCAAAUUUCCUUUUAUUUCUGUGCCUUUGGCAAUUGCUUUUCCUCUACUUGCCUCCAAUAUGAGGCAGAAAUGUUAAUAUGAUCUCUUACUCUCCUCUCCAGUUCUCUUUGUUUCUCAGAACAUUCUAGAGAGCAUCUAGUAAUAGUGACAGCCCAUGUCUCUGUAUUCCUUGCUUUCCUUCAUCUGAUUAAAUAAUACUGAGGAACAGAAUCUUGGUCCCUCUUGAGUUUGUCCAAAUACCAUGUACAGGCCAGCAUGGCAGCUUCCACCCUUUCUUUGAGGCAGUCAGGUUGGAGGGGGUCCCCUGGAGAAACUCCAACCAGCCUGCCAAUGCGGUGGAGCCUCCAGAAGUCGUACCGUUUGCAGCGGGGAGGAGCUUGGCCCUGCCUCUUCCUGUGGAACCUGGGAUUCAAAGGGUGGGCCGGAAGUGCUCUAGCCAGGGGACUCUGGCCUUAUGGAGGAUCCCUGUUUCCUCCUUUUUUUUUUUUAAACCCUUUUCACCUAAUAAAACCCUGCUUUUCUCACCCUUUAAACUGUCUAUGAGCCUAAAUUUUCAUGGCCGUGGGACAGACAAGAACCCCAUCUUUGCUAAACCAAGGAAAAGUCCUGCAACAUUUUUGGCACGCAGAGUGGGGGCUGGAGAGGAGGUUAACAUCAGAUUUGUCUUUUGAAAGAGCAUCUCUCAACCUAGUGUGUCUGGAAUUGGUGGGUUCUUGGUCUCGCUGACUUCAAGAAUGAAGCCGCGGACUCUCGCAAUUCAUUCAUAGCUGCUACACAUUCAUCUCUAUAUAAAACCUACUCUCCCCUCUGAAAAAGCAGCAUAACCAGUCAACGAACAAGUAUAUAGGAUUAGCACAUUAUGAAGAAUAAAGAGAAGCUUUCAGCUCUCCGUCAUGGAUGAUAUUUAUCACAUUUUCCACGACUGGCUCUAAUAACAGUGCAGAGAUAAAAUAGGCUUGAUGCAUCUUUCCUGUACAGAGAAUUUUACAACAGCAACUGUAAGAAAUUCAGGAGAUGAAACACUUCUCCCCUCUUGCAGUUUUUAUUAGUCUUAAAAAUGGGAGGUGGGUGUGUGGGGGAGACUGUUUCUACAAAAGUGGGCUUGAAUUUUCUGUCUGUUAUGCUAAUGUAUUCAUAGAAAAAGCUGGUGCUGAGGGCGGUUCUCCAAUUAAGACAAAUGAGGCACAUUGAAUUUCUCCCCCAGGGCACAGCAGGGGUGCUGGCAAAAUCUACUUUAUUCUUUUCUGUCAGGACUGAACUGGAAACAAAAGCAUGAAAAUUCAACACAUCCACUUACAGAAUAAUAAAGGCUGUUGUUUAAAGCGUGAAGAGUUUUGGCACCCUUCUGGGGCCUUAUGCAAAUCGCUCUUCCUCUCAACUGCUACCACACCAUCGGUCUUGGAAAUUAAAGAUGUACUUGGUCGGUUAACAGCUGAAAGGAGAAGAGCAGCCUGAAACUCAAUUAGAUUUGUAUUAAGCAAAUAAAUCAGGACUGACUGAUAUUGGCUAAACUAAAAUGCAUUAUGGGCUGACAGUAAUUCUAAUUUGAUGGACAAAUAUAUGUAGUGUGUUAUUAACCUAAAUGAAAGAUGAGAAUCCUUUUUUUUUCUUUUUAAAGGAUUUUGUUCUAGUAAACAAUCCGCUCUCCCUCUGAACUUACACAAAACAAUAAACAGAGACUACUGGUAUGGUUCUGUUUACAAUCCAUGCUCAAGAACACAGGAAAUCUAUUUUCUAUUACGUGGUUAGAGUUUGAGACAAAAUUAUUGUGCUGAAAGACAUUUGUUUUUAUCGAUUUAUUUGGUGUAAUGUAACAUCUCAACACAUUAUUUAUUUGGUACACCAAGCACGCUAUUUUUAUUAUGGUGAGUAACACAAAAGCAUAGACCUGGUAUAUGUCUCAUUAUUUAUUCGGAACCCUGUAGUAUAGGAGGCUUUUCCACACCAGGGCACAUACAAAGGGGCCUCAAAUAUGGUUCAAAGUCAUAAAUGAAGAUUUCAAUAAAAUCCUCCAAAGCUUUGAGGAAAACAAAAAACACUCAACAAAUAGCAUAAACGUGUUGGUGUGUGUGGUUGGAUAAGACAUUUCCUUUGAAAGAAGAGUUUUGGGAGUUUCAACUUACUUCCUUGUCUUUGCUGUUUACACCUUUAGAACUUACAGAAAUGGCCAGGUGUGGUGGCUCACACCUGUAAUCACAGCACUUUGAGAGGCUGAGGCAGGAGGAUGGGUUGAACACAGGAGUUUGAGAUCAGUCUGGGCAACAUGGAGAAAUCCUCAUCUUUAAAACAUACUUUUUGACAAACUUAGCCACGCUUGGUGGCACAUGCCUGUGGUCCCAGCCACUCAGGAGGUUGAGGCAGAGGAUUGCUUGAGCUUAGCAGUUCGAGGUCGCAGUCAACUAUGAUCACACCACUGCAAUCUAGCCUGGGCAACAGAAUGAGACCCUGUCUCAAAAACAACAACGAGAAAAACCUUACAGAGAUUUAGGUCAUUACAUUUAACAUCCUGCUAAAUUAAUAAUUAACUAGUAACUUAAUACUUUUGCUUUGGUUGUAACUAUGUUCUAUUUUCGUCACCUUUUCCUUCUGGCUAUCAGAUUAAAGACUCAUUGACUCACUGUUGUCUUUCAAUUAUCUUUCCUUCUACAUUUCCUACCUGGCUCUUCUUGCCAAAUCCUGCUGCGUUUUGCUCUGCAUAGGUGCCAGAAAUUGUCUAUUUCUCCCCUUCAAAACUUGUCCAAACCUUUGCCCCUGUGUGGGCAGCUUCCUGCCGCAGCUCUUGCCAGUACCUGUUCUCAUAUCUCCUUGUUGGGGCUCAGAAAGCAACACCCCAAAACAUGGUGCUUUGGCACUGCUGAGCACUUUGAACUGGAGAUCAGAAGGCCUUAGAAGCUGCUUCAGAAGCAAAAUCUCUGACCUUCUCCUGUUCUCUCGUCCUCUCCCUCUCCUUCUCCUCCAAAACAAGUUAUAGAGUCUAGAAUUUCUCUUCCCCAAGGCAGGUUAUAGAAACUAGAUCUCCUCUCCCCAAAAAGCAAGCCAUAAAGAAGACCCUCAUUCCAAAGGAGUCCUUCCCUGUAGCCAGGAGGAAGGAAUGCCACACAGAGAGGCCAAGGUGAAUUGGAACAGACAGGGAUUGCUGGGUUUUCACCCCUACAGUCUAUUACCACUAGAUCAUUCCCUUUGUCCAGUCACAUUUCUACGUGGCUGUCUAUUCUUCAUUGAAUCUAAGCAUAAAAACAGACAAUUUUCCCUCAGUCUUUGACUCCUCAUAUCUCAAAGUUUGAGAUAUGAAGACUCAAUCUUUGUCAUGUAAAACUUGAUUAUAUCAAGUAACUUUGUUAUGCCUUUUUUUUUUGAGUUGGAGUCUCGCUGUGUCGCCCAGGCUGGAGUGCUGUGGCGCGAUCUCGGCUCACUGCAAGCCUCGCCUCCCAGGUUCACGCCAUUCUCCUGCCUCACCUCCCGAGUAGCUGGGACUACAGGCACCCGCCACCACACCUGGCUAAUUUUUUUGUAUUUUUAGUAGAGACGGGGUUUCACUGUGUUAGCCAGUGUGGUCUCGAUCUCCUGACCUCAUGAUCCGCCCGCCUUGGCCACCCAAAGUGCUGGGAUUACAGGUGUGAGCCACUGUGCCCAGCCUGUUACGCCUUUUUCUGGUUAAGCUUCCCCCACUCCCCACCUUUUUUUUUGUUUCAGAGGGUAUAUGUGCAGAUGUAUUACAUGGGUAUAUUGUGUGAUGCUGAGAUUUAGGGUACAGAUGGUCUUGUCACCCAGGCAGUGAGCAUAGUACCCAAUAGGUGGUUUUUCAGCCCACGCCCCCUUCCCUUCUCCUUCUAGUAGUCCUCAGUGUCUAUUGUUCCCUUCUUUGUGUCCAUGUGUACUCAAUGUUUAGCUCCUACUUGUGAGAACACACAGUAUUUGUUUUUCUGUUCCUGUGUUAAUUCAUUAAUUCACAUAGGAUAAUGGCCUUCAGCUGUAUCCAUGUUGCAAACGACAUGAUUUUUUUCUUUCUUAUGGCUGUGUAGUAUUCCAUGGUAUAUAUGUACUGUCUUUUGUUAUAGGAGUGUUGGCCAUGACCCUUAUGAUGGAUGAGGAAAGGGAUCAUACCUUUCUGUCCCACAUCCUCUACUGAACAUAUCAAAGAUUCUUGGCCAAAACCAAUUUUCCCUGACACUCUGUCUCAACUGUUCUUUCCCAUUAUAAUUGGUGUUGAUAUGGACAGGAGGCAGAGAAAUACUAGGUAGAAAAGGGUGGGGCUUCUGGCAAGUGUUCUACCCCCAAGCCUGGACCCACGUCCCUAAAUGAGAACUUCACAUCCCUGUUUUUCUGCGCAAAUAUUACCUUAUGUGCUGCCACCCUCACAUCCUGUGUCCAUAAAAACUCCAAGCUCCACUGGCAGAGGAGCCCAGUGGUGUGGCAGAAAAGGAGAGAAGAGAAGAGGCAGCUGGACAUUGGAGACUACAGUCAGAGAGGAGUUUGGCUGUCUCCAGCUGAACUCCAGGGGAAGAUUAUCUUCCUACUCCAUCCCCUUUCCAGCUCCCCAUCCUACUGAGAGCCACUUCCACUGCUCAAUAAAAUCUCCACAUUGAUUAUCCUUCAAGUCUGUGUGAACUGAUUCUUCCUGGAUGCUGGACAAGAACCCAGGUACCAAGAGGGCAGGGUGUAAAAGCCUGUCACCCUGAUCCUCCACUGACCUGGUUUAACACUUAGCCAUCUGUGGAUGGCAAAUGCUAAAAGAUCAUUGUAAGACAUGCCCUCUGGGGCUCUAGAGGUCACUAGCAACCCCUAGACACUGCCAUGGGCCAGUACCAGGUUCGUUCCUUGCUCCUGCACCUGCCAACCUGCAAGCUUCCCCUCCUGUAAGGAGUUUGAGUGCGGUGGCCGAGCAAAGGAGACACCCCUGUUGCAAGUCCCAUGAGGGGGUCAAGGGAACUCUCCCGUCUCAAUAUUCCUCACUGAUAAUGAGAGCAAAGAACACCAUAGAAUGAGACUUCAUGAAUUGCCAUCAAGUUUUGCACACAGUUACUUUCAUCCCAGAUUAAAGUCUCUCUUUUUAGCUUUUCCAACAGUUGUCAUCUCAGACCACUCAACUGCUGCUCUCACUUCUCUCUUCUCCUUCCUCUGCAGAGCUGGCCAUACUCUUUUUUUUUUUGUCACUCUUUUUUUGUUACAUUUUUGCUUGCUUUCUUGUCAUUUCCUUUAAAAUUCAUCAACAAAAUUAGUUUAUUAAACUUUGAUAUCCAUCCCAGUACUCAUAUAUAAUUUGAUAGUGACAAUCCUUCCACUUAUUGUGAGUUUAGAAUAACUUUGUUCUAUAAUAUUGAUUAGGUUCAGGGCACACUAACCCAAAAUAUGGCACCUUGGCAUAUUGAAUAUUUUAAGCUGAAAGAAUCUGAGAAAUUCCCUAUGCUGGAAGGACUUUCUGACUUUCCCUAAAGCAGGUCAUGUGAGAGGUGCCCUCCUUAUACCUGGAGGAAAGGAGCAUCCAUAUCUCCAAAGACACAGGGAUGCUGAGAGGAAUCUGAAUGGACAAGCCUUGUCGUUUCUCCUAGUUUAUUAUAAUUAGCACAUGCCCAUUUUAUGCUAUCAUAUUUCCCCAUGACCGUCUACUCUUCAUCAAACCUAGCAUAAAGCAACCCAGUUUUAAGCACUUCUUUGGGUCUUCAUUUCCUAUUGAAGGCUCCAGUGUCACGCAAAACAUACACAUUUCUAUGAUUCUUUCUUUCUGUCUUUUGUUCCAGGGGCCCCAGCCAAUGAACCUAAAAUGAGUAAAAGAUAAAGAUGUUUUUCUCCUCCCCAACAAUAUUUGAUUAAUGCUUUUUCAGGUUUCAGACUUUUAGUUAACAUUCUGUAUUGUGAGAUUACUUUUAAAAAAUGAGAUUCAAUCUAAUUUCUUAAAUAAACUUGUGUAUACCUCUUUGGUUGUUCAUUUUGGUUUUUUAUUCCAUUUAGGAACAGUAAUGUCAUAGACUUUUGACAUUCACUGGAUGCCCAUUCAAUGGGCCUUCAUAAAUCUCAAUAAUUUUUUUUCAUUUUAAAAAAUCAUGAUAAAACACAUACGACGUAAACUUUACCAUUGUAACCAUUUUUAAGUAUACAAUUCAGUGGCAUUAAGAACAUUCACAAUGUUGUAUGAUGUGGUUCAGAACACACUGCCCCAAAAUAUGGCACUUUGGCAUAUUGAGUAUUUUAAACUGAAGGAAUUUGAGAAAUAGGUGCUAGAAGGACUCUCUGACCUCCUGUUUUUCCCUUGAAGCAGAUCCCAAGACCCUCAUGUAAGAGGUGCCCUUGCUAUACUCAGAGGAAAAGAGCAUCCCUACCUCUGAAGAGGGAGGGAUGCCGAGAGGAAUCUGAAUGAACAGGGCUUGUUGUUUUCCCCAGAUUACUACCCUUAGCUCAUAGCCUUUGUCCUAUUACAUUUUUCCAUGACUUUUUACUCUUCCUCAAAUCUAGUAGAAAAAUGCACAGGCUUAACUGUUGCUUUGUCUUCAUUUCCUUAUAAAGUUUCCUUGGCCACAUAAAACUUACAUUAAAUAAAUUUUUACAUAUUUUUUCUUGUUAAUCUGUCUUUCGUUAGUCUAAUUUACAGGGUCCCAGUCAGAUAACCUAAAAGGAUAGAGACAAAGGAUAUUUUUUUUCUCUCCUAC
rnacentral:lncRNA from 1 species